CUACGUGCCAGCAGCCGCGGUAAUACGUAGGGUGCGAGCGUUAAUCGGAAUUACUGGGCGUAAAGCGAGCGCAGACGGUUACUUAAGCAGGAUGUGAAAUCCCCGGGCUCAACCUGGGAACUGCGUUCUGAACUGGGUGACUAGAGUGUGUCAGAGGGAGGUAGAAUUCCACGUGUAGCAGUGAAAUGCGUAGAGAUGUGGAGGAAUACCGAUGGCGAAGGCAGCCUCCUGGGAUAACACUGACGUUCAUGCUCGAAAGCGUGGGUAGCAAACAGGAUUAGAUACCCUGGUAGUCCACGCUGUAAACGCUGUCGAUUUGGGGAUUGGGCUUUAAGCUUGGCGCCCGUAGCUAACGUGAUAAAUCGACCGCCUGGGGAGUACGGCCGCAAGGUUAAAACUCAAAUGAAUUGACGGGGGCCCGCACAAGCGGUGGAGCAUGUGGUUUAAUUCGAUGCAACGCGAAGAACCUUACCUACUCUUGACAUCCAUGGAAUUCUGUAGAGAUACGGGAGUGC
rnacentral:rRNA from 1 species